rnacentral:lncRNA from 1 species
GAAUAGAUGCGUAACUGCAUACCCAUUACAGCGAACCACACACGCUGUUAUUGAAUAAAAAUAUUCUUAAACAAUAUAUUUUUGAGAGAAAAAAUAUUUUUUCCAAAACAAAAAUUAGUCCAGAAAUAAUUUUUCAAAAGUUGAAAAUUUUACUAUAUACUUCAUAUGCACACCCACGAAAUGGUUGGGUGGAAAAAAGAAUUUUGCUAAGAAACAUUUUUGUCUUCAAAGAAAAUAAACUAGAUAUGAGAGAAUUUAGUUUAGAAAAAUAUAGUAAAUUUAUUUUCUUUUAAAAAUACUGUAAAUCAAAAAGAGAAAAAUUGUACCAAAUAAGUUUUAUCAUGUCAAAGUCUGCUAUUCUAGCACGGUUCUGUCUGCCGCCUCUGGCACGAGUUUAGGGUUUUGUUUAUUUUUGGGGUUUCUAGGUGUUUUUUUCUGUUCUUCUUGUUUGAUUCUCUACGUUGUUCAAGGAUAUCUCCAUUCUAUAAAUUGGUAGGUGUGGAGCAUUUCUCUGGUUCUCAAUCCCUGCAAUCAUGGAAACUGAAUUAGCACAAUUAUCGCUUAAUGAAGAAAAAGAAAAAAUUUUACAGAUCCAAUGAGAUCUAAGGACACAAACAGAGGUGGGAGAUUACCAGCUUGUGGGAUGUUUCUUAACAGCAAGUAUUAUAAAUUUUUCGGCUAUGAAGAGUACUUUAGCAAAUUUAUGGCAUCCCAUCUGUGCGGUGCAGAUCCGAGAUAUGGGGGAAAAAAUGUACCUUUUCAAGUUUUUUCAUAGCAUGGAUAUGGAGAGAGUUUUGAAGGGUUUUCCGUGGAAUUUUAACAAUCAUUUAUUAAUUCUUAGCAAAUUGCAAAGAGGUGAAGAUCUCCUUAAAAUACCUUUAGUUUAUGUGCCCUUUUGGGUACAAGUCCAUGAUGUUCCAAUUGGUUUAUUUUCUGAGAGUUUAUCGAGGCUUUUGGGGAAUUUUAUUGGAGUUUUCCUAGAGUAUGAUGGUUCAGAUUUGGGUAAGGAAAAUCGUAAUUAUAUGAGAGUUAGGGUGCAGAUUGAUGAUAGGAAGCCAUUAAGAAAAAAGAAGCAGGUUAUGUCUAGUGGAGUAUGCUCGUAUGUCAAGUUCAAAUAUGAACGUUUAUCGCUAUUUUGUUUUUUCUGUGGUCGUUUAGGACACAAUGACUCUUAUUGCGAGACAAAAAUUAUGAUGGGAACAGAUUUCACACAGAUGGGUUUUGAUUUAUCUUUGCGAGCCCCAUUCUAUAGAGCUCUAUCAAUGAACAGUAUUUAGCUAUGAAAAUAAAAGGACGAGGACAGGGAAGGAAGUUGGAUGAAAAGUAGAUCAAAGGGGCUGAACCCAAGGAAUGGGGAUCCAAAAGGAAGUACGAAGAAAACCAUUGAUCCUAUAUUGCGGUUUAGCUUAGAAGGGAAAUGAUCAGCUAUGGAUAAACAGAAAGAGAAACUAUGGCCCCAUCAGACGUAUGCGUUAAUGGAUCAUGAUCUGGAAGAUGAAGUUAUAAUGGGGGAAGGGAAAAAGUGAAACAAGGGUGAGAUGGAAGGUCAAAUUCUUUUAUCAUUGGUGGCUACCAAAAGGUUAGCCGACCAAGCACAAUGAAAAUCAUAAGCUGGAACGUCCGUGGUUUGGGGAGACAGCGGACGGUUAGAAGAAUUCGGUAUUUACUGAAGUUAAAAGCUCCCCCAAAUAGUCUUCUUUCUGGAGACAAAACUCAAUAGAAAGCAGAUGGAACUAGUGCAUAGGAGAUGUGGGUAUCUCAAUGGUAUUGAAGUCGAUUCUGAAGGUACAAGGGGAGGAUUAUGUUUAGCAUUGAGAACUGAUGUUGAUAUAAUUCUUCGUAGUUUUUCUAAAAGGUAUAUUGAUGUGUUAAUUGAAGAUAAUGAAAGAGGAGCAAAAUGGAGACUUACUAGAUUUUAUGGAUCUCCAUACGUACAGGACAGGAAUGAUUCAUGGGAAAUUUUUAAGGGCUUAGCUAUAGGAGUAGACAUUGCUUGGCUGGUUUAUGGAGAUUUCAAUGAAAUCAUGUAUGGAUUUGAAAAAAGAGGAGGAUUACCCAAAGACGAGAGAAUAAUGGAAUGUUUUCGGAAAACGCUUGAAGGUUGUCAAUUGUAUGAUGUGGGUUUUGAGGGAAGUUGGUUCACUUGGGAGAGAGGUAACCUACCAGAAACAAAUAUACGAGAACGACUUGAUAGAAGAGUUGCUAACAUAGGUUGGAUUACGGUGUUUCCAGAAGUAAAGGCCCAACAUCUUAUCCACUCGUUCUCAAAUCAUUGUCCUCUUCUCAUCGAUACUACUGAAAAAGCAGUGAAAGUAUGGAACAACAAUUUUAAAUUUGAAGCUUGGUGGCUAAUUGAUGAUUCUUUCAUUGAUGUGGUUCAAGGUAUAUGGGAGAAAUCAUCAGGGGAGUUGUUGUAGAGGUUGGAGAGUUUGAAAACAGGAUUAAAGGAGUGGGCCGGGGCAAUUCAAAUCAAGAGGAAGAAAUCUAAACAGACUCUUAGAAAAAAACUUGCGGAGUUGGUUGACGCUGAAAGGGAUGAUAAGAUCUUAGCUGAGCUGAUAGAGACAAGAAUAAAUUUGAACUUUGAGAUUGAAAAAGAUGAAUGCUAUUGGGAUGAUAAGAUCUUAGCUGAGCUCAUAGUCAAGCUUCACAAUGGAAGAGGAAAAAUUAUAUUCAUAAGUUGGUGAACGAAGAAGGGAGAGAAUUGUCACUUAUGCAGGACAUUGAAGAAGCUGUGCGAUCUUACUUUCAAAAUCUGUUCUCGACUGGAAUAAAAGGGAAUUAUGAUUGUAUACUAUUAGGGAUUAAGCGAUGUAUUCAAGUGGAAGACAAUCAAAGUCUUACAGCAACAUAUACAGGAGAGGAAAUCACGGAAGCAAUUGAUAUGGGACCAACGAAGGCUCCAGGGGAGGAUGGUUUUCCAGUAGUUUUUUACGAGAAGUGUUGGCGGAUUUUGGGAGAAGACGUAAUAUACUUUUGCUCCCGAAUACUGAAUGGAGAUAUGGAGGUUAGUCCUAUUAAUUCUACAAAUAUUGUUCUUAUACCCAAAGUUAAUAAUCUCUUGUCAAUGACGCAAUAUAGGCCGAUUAGUCUUUGCAAUGUACUUUAUAAAAUUAUUGCGAAGGUAAUAGCUAGUAGACUUCGAAAGGUUAUUGGAAAAUGUAUCUAUGAUGCCCAAAGUGCUUUUGUGCCUGGUCGGUUAAUUUCAGACAAUAUGAUGCUAGCAUAUGAAGUAUUGCAUAAAUUAAAACAGAAGAGACUAGGGAAAAAUGAUUUAUGGCCGUUAAACUUGAUAUGAGUAAAGCUUAUGACAGGGUUGAAUGGAGUUUUAUAAAAGAAAUCAUGAUAAGAAUGGAGUUUGAUCUUAACUGGGUGAGGGCCAUUAUGAAAUGUGUCUCUACCGUUUCCUACUCUGUAGUCAUUAAUGGACAUAGCGGGGUAAAAUUUUUGCCAACCAGAGGAUUGAGACAAGGUGAUCGUCUCAGCCCGUUUUUAUUUCUUUUAUGCGGUGAGGGCUUAUCGAGCUUGUUGAGACAGGCAACGAAAAGAGGUACCUUAAAGGGAGUAAGGUUUAGUAGGAAUGGGCCACUGGUUUCCCAUCUUUUAUUUGCUGAUGAUUGCAUUUUGUUUAGAGAAGCAACAAGCAGGGGUGCUAACAUUUUCAAGGAUAUUUUAGAUGAAUACAAAACUCAGUCGGGACAGUGUGUAAACUUUGAAAAAUCUUCAGUAUUUUUUAGCAAAAACACGUUGGAAGAGGAUAGAAGACAUAUUAUAAAUUUGAUGGGGGUUUGGAGGUCGAAUGAACUAGAACGAUAUUUGGGGUUGCCCAAUAUAGUGGGUCGAAUAAAGAGGGAAGCUUUUCAAAGUCUGAAGAACAGGUUCAAAAAAUACAUCGACAAUUGGAGUAAUAGAUUUCUAUCACAAGGAGGUAAAGAAGUUUAUAUAAAGGCCAUUCUACAAGCUAUUCAAACUUAUUCAAUGGCUUGUUUUCUAUUUCCUAGAACGCUAUGUGAUGAGUUGGAAAGUAUAGUUGCUAAAUUCUGGUGGUAGAAAGGAAAGGGCAGAAAAGGAAUAUAUUGGUGUAAUUGGAAAAAUCUCUGUUCAUUAAAAGAAAACGGUAGGAUAGGCUUUCAAAAUUUCGGCCAAUUCAAUAUUGCGUUAUUAGCGAAGUAAGGUUGGCGUCUUAUUAAUUACCCAAAUUCUUUAUUAGCCAGAAUUUUAAAAGCAAAGUAUUACCCGUACUCUAGUUUCUUAACUGCGAAGCUGGGAAACUUACAUUCUUUUACCUGAAAAAGUAUCUGGGCUGCAAAGGGUCUUCUCCAAAAAGGAAUGUGUUGGAGAGUGGGCAGAGG